rnacentral:rRNA from 1 species
UUUUCGGUUGAUCCUGCCGGACCUGACUGCUAUCGGAUUGGUACUAAGCCAUGCGAGUCAUUGUGCAAUACAAGGCGGACGGCUCAGUAACACGUAGUCAACCUAACUCGUGGACGUGGAUAACCUCGGGAAACUGAGAAUAAACCGCGAUAGAUCAUUAUGCCUGGAAUGGCUUAUGGUCCAAAUAGUUUACUGCCAUGGGAUGGGACUGCGGCCUAUCAGCUUGUUGGUGAGGUAAUGGCCCACCAAGGCUAUAACAGGUACGGGCUCUGAGAGGAGAAGCCCGGAGAUGGGUACUGAGACACGGACCCAGGCCCUAUGGGGCGCAGCAGGCGAGAAACCUUAGCAAUGUGCGGAAGCACGACUGGGUCAGUCCGAGUGAUUCCUGAUAAAGGAGUCUUUUGCUUGUCCUAAAAGCACAGGUGAAUAAGGGGUGGGCAAGUCUGGUGUCAGCCGCCGCGGUAAUACCAGCACCUCGAGUGGUCAGGACGUUUAUUGGGCCUAAAGCAUCCGUAGCCGGCUCUGCAAGUCUUCGGUUAAAUCCACCUGCUCAACAGAUGGGCCGCUGGAGAUACUACAGAGCUAGG